UAAGGGGCAAGGGUCACAUCUAAUGACAUGUGUUCUUUAUGCUCUAUUACUUGGUGUUAUAAAUUAUUAAAUUGAUCUCAACAAAAUUCUAGCAGUGAAAUUUUGAAAUGCAUGUACUAGAUUUAUGGUAAAAUUGUCUGGUGGUUUGUUUGUGUGUUCUCUAGAUUAAAUUUAA